CGAUGCGAUCAUACCAGCACUAAUGCACCGGAUCCCGUUAGAACUCCUCAGUUAAGCAUGCUUGGGCGAGAGUUGUAUUAGGAUGGGUGACCUCUUGGGAAGUCCUCGUGUUGCACCCC
rfam:Gossypium raimondii Chr06_contig_386, whole genome shotgun sequence.